rnacentral:ncRNA from 1 species
CCCCAACCGUUGGGGUGCCCUGUUUGGGGGCUGAGAGGCGUGAACGCGCUAACCCAUCGAACCUGAUCCGGGCAAUACCGGCGUAGGGAACGGUCUUAUAGUGCUU